UACGGAGGGUGCAAACGUUGCUCGGAAUCAUUGGGCGUAAAGCGCGUGUAGGCGGCUUAUUAAGUCAGAUGUGAAAUCCCUUGGCUCAACUGAGGAACUGCAUCUGAAACUGGUAAGCUUGAGUGUCGGAGGGGAUGGUAGAAUUCCUGGUGUAGAGGUGAAAUUCGUAGAUAUCAGGAGGAAUACCUGUGGCGAAGGCGACCAUCUGGAAGACAACUGACGCUGAGACGCGAAAGCGUGGGUAGCAAACAGG
rnacentral:rRNA from 1 species